ensembl:snRNA U6 U6 spliceosomal RNA
GUGCUCGCUUCAGUAGCAUGUAUACCCAAACUGGAACGACAGAGAAGACUGGCGCGGCCGCUGCGCAAGGAGGACACACACAUUCGUGAAGUGUUCCAUAUUGUU